rnacentral:misc_RNA from 1 species
UCCGGUUUGACACCGGCAGUCUCCAUAGAGUUCUCGCCAUUACGCGUUAGUAACUAUGAAUAAGGGUUGCGCUCGUUGCGGGACUUAACCCAACAUCUCACGACACGAGCUGACGACAGCCAUGCAGCACCUGUGUUGCGGUUCCCUUUCGGGCACUCCUGCAUUUCUGCAGGAUUCCGCACAUGUCAAGGGUAGGUAAGGUUUUUCGCGUUGCAUCGAAUUAAACCACAUGCUCCUCCGCUUGUGCGGGCCCCCGUCAAUUCCUUUGAGUUUCAAUCUUGCGAUCGUACUUCCCAGGUGGCAUACUUAACGCUUUCGCUUGGGUCCUAACAGUAUAUCGCUAAGGCCGAGUAUGCAAAGUUUAGGGCGUGGACUAC